AUUGAACGCUGGCGGCAGGCCUAACACAUGCAAGUCGAACGAGUGGCGGACGGGUGAGUAAUGUCUGGGAAACUGCCUGAUGGAGGGGGAUAACUACUGGAAACGGUAGCUAAUACCGCAUACCAUCGGAUGUGCCCAGAUGGGAGUAGCUAGUAGGUGGGGUAAAGGCUCACCUAGGCGACGAUCCCUAGCUGGUCUGAGAGGAUGACCAGCAACACUGGAACUGAGACACGGUCCAGACGCCUACGUGAGGAAGCAGGGGGAAAUAUUGCACAAUGGGCGCAAGCCUGAUGCAUCCAUGCCGCGUGUAUGAAGAAGGCCUACGGGUUUUAAAGUACUUACAGCGGGGAGGCGUUACCCGCAGAAGAAGCACCGGCUAACUCCGUGCCAGCGGCCGCGGUAAUAC
rnacentral:rRNA from 1 species